rnacentral:rRNA from 1 species
UGAGGAAUAUUGGUCAAUGACGGAAGUCUGAACCAGCCAAGUAGCGUGCAGGAUGACGGCCCUAUGGGUUGUAAACUGCUUUUAUACGGGGAUAAAGUUAGGGACGUGUCCCUAUUUGCAGGUACCGUAUGAAUAAGGACCGGCUAAUUCCGUGCCAGCAGCCGCGGUAAUACGGAAGGUCCGGGCGUUAUCCGGAUUUAUUGGGUUUAAAGGGAGCGUAGGCCGUAGAUUAAGUGUGUUGUGAAAUGUAGACGCUCAACGUCUGACUUGCAGCGCAUACUGGUUUACUUGAGUUUGCACAACGUUGGCGGAAUUCGUCGUGUAGCGGUGAAAUGCUUAGAUAUGACGAAGAACUCCGAUUGCGAAGGCAGCUUGCGGGAGCAAAACUGACGCUGAAGCUCGAAAGUGCGGGUAUCGAACAGG